rnacentral:tRNA from 1 species
CGGGGUGUAGCGCAGUUGGUAGCGCACAGCGUUUGGGACGCUGGGGUCGCUGGUUCGAGUCCAGUCACCCCGACCA